rnacentral:lncRNA from 1 species
CCGGGUUGGAAUUUUGGCGGGUGCCGAGGAGCGCGCGCGGCGAGAAUACUUUUCCCUGGGGGACUCUUGAAGAAAUCCCAGUGAAAUCAUGGACGCUGAUGAUGACUUGGAUAUGUUGGCCUCCCUCCUGGAAGAAAGUGAAGCAACUGAGGAGAGGAAUUCUCCUGAGGAGGAAGAUGCCCCAGAGGAUGAGGGGGGAGAGCCAGAUGAAUACGAUGAGCUGUUUGAUGCAGAAGAUGAUGCGUCCUACACCGAGGAGGUCAGUGCUGAGGAUAGCAUGACUGAUGAGCAGAAGGAGAACCUGGCUGCACUGUUUGGAGAUGUAGAUGACCUGCUGGAAGAGGAGGAGGCAGAGGAAGCUUCCCCCAGUUCAGCUCCCAGUCAGGCAAAGGAGAAAACCAAUGAAGAACUUCAAGGUUU